UGAACUUCUGUGUAUGCACCAUGUUUAAUUACAUGACCACACACAUUCUGUUUGACAGUGCUCAGAACAGGCAAACACGUACUAAGGCAUGACUUCUGCUGUUGUAGGCAAGCUGAUAAUACUGCAUAUUGCAAAAGUUGCUCAGUAUAAACUAUGCCAAAAUGCUGCUUUCAGUUAUGUUCUUCUUUAGAUAAUAACCUUGAACAGAACUCCUGCUUUGUACGUAUACAUCCCUGCACUGUUUUAAGCUGGAGUGGAUCUAGGUCCAGACUGGAGCAAAUCAGGGAAUCUGUGGCAUGUGCUCUUUCUUACGCCCAGGAAACAAGGAAGAGGGGUUGUCCUUCUGGAAUGCAGAGGGAAAUGAAGGCAAACAUAUAUAAAGAAGUGUAUUUAAAUUGAAGGAACAAACUGGGACAUGAGAAGAGAGGAAUGGACAGUAGGGAUAACAGAACUGUGCUUGCAUUUGUGAAGAUGAAAGGAGAAAGAACAUGGGUGCUUUUGAUGAAGUAAAAUCAGUCCCUCAUAUGUUUACAUUUAAUUACAAGAUUACUCUGUUUUUCCGCAGAAUUCCUACCUCAUGCAGGAGGCACAUAAUGAGUAGCUAUUAAAUACAUUGCUUUACCCUUAUCAUAUGUGGCCCAAAGCCCUACUUACUGCAGACGUUUUAUAUUCUUGUCCAAAGGCAGAGUUAUUCAUUUCUUCGGAAAUUUUUGUAAUGCCUGUUUCUCUAACUUUUUCAACAACGCAAAUUCCAGUGUUUCCUAACUUAAAGUGCAGUCUUAAUAUUCUUUUAACGUCAUUGUGUAUAAUUAUAGGUAUGCAUGUGUAUUUAUACGGUGUAAUGUGAACAAACAAAUAGGUGUAUAUAAAGGUUCUUAAAACUUUGUUCUGUAAGCUGUGAGAAACACAAAGUUAUGUGAGGGCACAAAGAGCUCUAAUAGUGACUGGCAAGAAGAGAAAGCAAAGAUAUUCUGUACUAUUUUUAACCAUUGUGUUACAUCAUGCAAUUUUGCAGAGAUUAGUCACCAUAUCAAAACGUUGAUGGAAAUAAUAGUGAAAAGGAGUUGGCGAACUUCAAACGCAUAUGAGGUAACUCUGUAAGAGUUACAAAUGACUUCUGGCAUUUUAAGGUGAAAUGGAAAAACUACAGCCAUAAUACCUCUUUUCUGAUGUUUAUUAUUAUUGUUGUUGUUUUAUUUUAUUUUUAAUACCUCAUUGCAAUAUGAUGAUAUAAGUGGAAAUUUUAUGGGCAUGUACAGGAGUUGGAUAGAGUAGAAUUGCAUCAGUUACUGUCAAGUAGUUUUGUCAUUUUAAGUAUUUUCACUUGUGUGGUCCCAAGCGGCCAGGGCCCCUUGCUUGUGAGUGCCCAAGGGAGGAACAGUCAAGAGUAUGAUGAGCUGAGCUGUUUCCAGUAGUGAGUUCCAGGAACUGCUCUGUGUCAAAUGUCUUUGUCAGUUAAAAUGAAAGGCAAGGGGGAAAAAAAAGAACAGUUUGGACAUAUCUUUUUUUCUUUCGAGAGCAAAAUAGUUUCAACAAAUUUGAAUGGUUCAUUUCUAGAAAAUUACUGCCCUGCAUCUUAAUUAAAUUACUUGAUUUGUCUAUCUUACUUCACAUAUCCAACACUUACAUUUAUUUGCUGUUUUUUUUCAGUGGGGCUAAAAUGAAUGGAAACAAAUAAAGCACAACACAGGAACAGUGAGGAAGUAGAUGAAACCUGGUCAUGAGGAUAUGAAUUAUUAUUGAACUCAGCAAAAGUAUAUGCAACAUCUUGAUAUCAUCUAGACCUACAGAGUUGACAAGAAGCUACAGAGUUGACAAGAAGCUAACUGGAGAAACAUGAUCUUCUUUUCACCUUUAUUAAUCUGUC
ensembl:lncRNA